rnacentral:rRNA from 1 species
GAUGAACGCUGGCGGCGUGCCUAAUACAUGCAAGUCGAGCGAACGGACGAGAAGCUUGCUUUUCUGAUGUUAGCGGCGGACGGGUGAGUAACACGUGGAUAACCUACCUAUAAGACUGGGAUAACUUCGGGAAACCGGAGCUAAUACCGGAUAAUAUUUUGAACCGCAUGGUUCAAAAGUGAAAGACGGUCUUGCUGUCACUUAUAGAUGGAUCCGCGCUGCAUUAGCUAGUUGGUAAGGUAACGGCUUACCAAGGCAACGAUGCAUAGCCGACCUGAGAGGGUGAUCGGCCACACUGGAACUGAGACACGGUCCGGACUCCUACGGGAGGCAGCAGUAGGGAAUCUUCCGCAAUGGGCGAAAGCCUGACGGAGCAACGCCGCGUGAGUGAUGAAGGUCUUCGGAUUGUAAAACUCUGUUAUUAGGGAAGAACAUAUGUGUAAGUAACUGUGCACAUCUUGACGGUACCUAAUCAGAAAGCCACGGCUAACUACGUGCCAGCAGCCGCGGUAAUACGUAGGUGGCAAGCGUUAUCCGGAAUUAUUGGGCGUAAAGCGCGCGUAGGCGGUUUUUUAAGUCUGAUGUGAAAGCCCACGGCUCAACCGUGGAGGGUCAUUGGAAACUGGAAAACUUGAGUGCAGAAGAGGAAAGUGGAAUUCCAUGUGUAGCGGUGAAAUGCGCAGAGAUGUGGAGGAACACCAGUGGCGAAGGCGACUUUCUGGUCUGUAACUGACGCUGAUGUGCGAAAGCGUGGGGAUCAAACAGGAUUAGAUACCCUGGUAGUCCACGCCGUAAACGAUGAGUGCUAAGUGUUAGGGGGUUUCCGCCCCUUAGUGCUGCAGCUAACGCAUUAAGCACUCCGCCUGGGGAGUACGACCGCAAGGUUGAAACUCAAAGGAAUUGACGGGGGCCCGCACAAGCGGUGGAGCAUGUGGUUUAAUUCGAAGCAACGCGAAGAACCUUACCAAAUCUUGACAUCCUUUGACAACUCUAGAGAUAGAGCCUUCCCCUUCGGGGGACAAAGUGACAGGUGGUGCAUGGUUGUCGUCAGCUCGUGUCGUGAGAUGUUGGGUUAAGUCCCGCAACGAGCGCAACCCUUAAGCUUAGUUGCCAUCAUUAAGUUGGGCACUCUAAGUUGACUGCCGGUGACAAACCGGAGGAAGGUGGGGAUGACGUCAAAUCAUCAUGCCCCUUAUGAUUUGGGCUACACACGUGCUACAAUGGACAAUACAAAGGGCAGCGAAACCGCGAGGUCAAGCAAAUCCCAUAAAGUUGUUCUCAGUUCGGAUUGUAGUCUGCAACUCGACUACAUGAAGCUGGAAUCGCUAGUAAUCGUAGAUCAGCAUGCUACGGUGAAUACGUUCCCGGGUCU